rfam:Candidatus Blackburnbacteria bacterium RIFCSPHIGHO2_02_FTLL_44_20 rifcsphigho2_02_scaffold_6198, whole genome shotgun sequence.
AGGGGUGUCGUUCAGUGGUAGGACGUCGGUCUCCAAAACCGAUAACGAAAGUUCGAUUCUUUCCACCCCUG